GAAGUGCACUCCUACGGGAGGCAGCAGUGGGGAAUAUUGCACAAUGGGCGCAAGCCUGAUGCAGCCAUGCCGCGUGUAUGAAGAAGGCCUUCGGGUUGUAAAGUACUUUCAGCAGUGAGGAAGGUGGGUAUGUUAAUAGCAUACUCAUUUGACGUUAGCUGCAGAAGAAGCACCGGCUAACUCCGUGCCAGCAGCCGCGGUAAUACGGAGGGUGCGAGCGUUAAUCGGAAUUACUGGGCGUAAAGCGCAUGCAGGUGGUUUGUUAAGUCAGAUGUGAAAGCCCGGGGCUCAACCUCGGAAUUGCAUUUGAAACUGGCAAACUAGAGUACUGUAGAGGGGGUAGAAUUUCAGGUGUAGCGGUGAAAUGCGUAGAGAUCUGAAGGAAUACCGGUGGCGAAGGCGGCCCCCUGGACAGAUACUGACACUCAGAUGCGAAAGCGUGGGGAGCAAACAGGAUUAGAUACCCUGGUAG
rnacentral:rRNA from 1 species